rnacentral:rRNA from 1 species
GACGAACGCUGGCGGCGUGCUUAACACAUGCAAGUCGAACGGGCCUUGUCCCCUUUUUUUUGGGGGUGGGGUUAGUGGCGAACGGGUGAGUAACACGUGAGUAACCUGCCCCUCACUUCUGGAUAACCGCUUGAAAGGGUGGCUAAUACGGGGUGUUCUGGCCUGCUCGCAUGGGUGGGUUUGGAAAGAUUCGACCGGUUUUGGUUGUUUUGGUGGGGGAUGGGCUCGCGGCCUAUCAGCUUGUUGGUGGGGUGAUGGCCUGCCAAGGCUUUGACGGGUAGCCGGCCUGAGAGGGUGGGCGGUCACACUGGGACUGAGACACGGCCCAGACUCCUACGGGAGGCAGCAGUGGGGAAUAUUGCACAAUGGGCGCAAGCCUGAUGCAGCGACGCCGCGUGAGGGAUGGAGGCCGUCGGGUUGUGAACCUCUUUCGCCAGUGAAGAAGGUCCUGCUCUUUGUGGUGGGGUUGACGGUAGCGGGGUUAAUGAAGCGCCGGCUAACUACGUG